rnacentral:rRNA from 1 species
UACGAAGGGGGCUAGCGUUGUUCGGAAUUACUGGGCGUAAAGCGUGCGCAGGCGGCUUCUCAAGUCAGGGGUGAAAGCCCAGAGCUCAACUCUGGAACUGCCUUUGAGACUGAGAGGCUUGAGUACGGGAGAGGUGAGGUGGAAUUCCCAGUGUAGAGGUGAAAUUCGUAGAUAUUGGGAAGAACACCGGUGGCGAAGGCGGCUCACUGGCCCGUAACUGACGCUCAUGCACGACAGCGUGGGGAUCAAACAGG